UAGCCCUGAAAAUGGAUGGCGCUGAAGCGUCGUACCCACACCCGGCCGUCGGGCCGCGCAGCACGGUCCGACGAGUAGGAGGGCGUGGCGGUGGCAGCGCAGCUUCGGGCGCGAGCCCGGGUGAAGCCUCCGCUAGUGCAGAUCUUGGUGGUAGUAGCAACUAUUCAAACGAGAUCUUUGAAGACUGAAGUGGAGUAGGGUUCCAUGUGACCAGCACUUGGACAUGGGUUAGUCGAUCCUAAGGGGAGGGAGAGUUCCCCGUGGAAGGUGCAAUCGCCUCCGGCGACCGCGCCGUUUUCCCCGAAAGGGAGUCGGGUCAACAUUCCCGAACCGGGAUGCGGGUAGGCCCUCGUGGCCAAGGCGGCAACGCGAGCGAACUCGGAGACGUCGGCGGGAGCCCCGGGAAGAGUUCUCUUUUCUUCUUAACGGGCCUUUCCCCUGGAAUCAGGUUGGCUGGAGAUAGGGUGUUGUGCCCGGUAAAGCGUCACACUUGUGGUGGCGUCCGGUGCGCUCCCGACGGCCCGUGAAAAUCCGAGGGAGCGUCUGAUCUUCGCGCCCGGUCGUACCGAUAUCCGCAUCAGGUCUCCAAGGUGAACAGCCUCUAGUCGAUAGAACAAUGUAGGUAAGGGAAGUCGGCAAAACGGAUCCGU
rnacentral:rRNA from 1 species